rnacentral:rRNA from 1 species
GACGGGGGGUGCAAGCGUUGUUCGGAAUCAUUGGGCGUAAAGCGCGUGCAGGUGGCUUUGUAAGUCAGAUGUGAAAGCCCAGGGCUUAACCCUGGAAGUGCAUUUGAAACUACUUAGCUUGAGUAUGGAAGAGGGUUGUGGAAUUCCAGGUGUAGUGGUGAAAUGCGUAGAGAUCAGGAAGAACACCGGUGGCGAAGGCGCUCUGCUAGGCCGCAACUGACACUGAGGGACGAAAGCUAGGGGAGCGAAUGGG